rnacentral:rRNA from 1 species
GGACCCGCACAAGUAGUGGAGCAUGUGGUUUAAUUCGAAGAUACGCGCAGAACCUUACCAACACUUGACAUGUUCGUCGCGACUCUAAGAGAUUAGAGUUUUCGGUUCGGCCGGACGAAACACAGGUGCUGCAUGGCUGUCGUCAGCUCGUGUCGUGAGAUGUUGGGUUAAGUCCCGCAACGAGCGCAACCCUCACUUUUAGUUGCCAUCAUUAAGUUGGGCACUCUGAAAGAACUGCCAGUGAUAAGCUGGAGGAAGGUGGGGAUGACGUCAAGUCCUCAUGGCCCUUACGUGUUGGGCUACACACGUGCUACAAUGGUAUCUACAACAGGAAGCAAGACUGCGAAGUUAAGCAAAUCCCUAAAAGUUAUCUCAGUUCGGAUUGUAGGCUGCAACUCGCCUACAUGAAGCUGGAAUC